ensembl:lncRNA
CACAGGGAAGGGCUGCAAGUACAAAGUCCUGCACCAGACUGCAAUCUAUCAGAGCAACUUUCAGUUCACUCCAGCCUCUUUCUUUGGGUUGUUUUUGAUGGUUGACAUUUUUCUGUUCUAUUUGCGUAAGGAUUUUUUAGUUUUUAUAUUAUAAAACUGCAUCCAAGCUUCCUGGCGUGCUGUGCCCUACCCCUAAAAAGUGGGCUUCCUUUUGAAUGAAUGCACUCCUGCCACUUCCAUAAUCUCUGACUCAUAAUCCAUUGUACAGUUGGGAAGUGUCUUGUGGGUACCAGUGCGUGUCGGUCCACUUCCAGACCCCGCAGCCGGUCAAUGUUCUCCCAGCCGGACGUCUAGUUCUCCAGGUCCAGAUCGACCGCGGUCCCAAAGAAAAGAUCUCCAUGAUAAACUGGGAGCGGGAGCCAGAGAACGCAAAGACCCCAGGGAAUCCUGGGAAGGUGACGUUGAUUACGUUCCCCGGUCAAGAAAAACGCUUGGACGGGCGUCUGAGUUUGGAGGAGCAGGGGUCAAUACUGAAGCUGGAGGGCUUUGGCGUGGCAGACAGUGGGGUGUACAUCGUGACCGUCACUGACCAGGCUGGCGUCAAGACCUCUGGACAGUGUACCGUCAAGGAGUACGAGGCUGUGCACCACCCCUCAGUGAGAGUGAAUGUGUCCCACUCCUCCCUGUUCUGUGUGGAGACCUGGGGGACAGACCUUAAAUUCAGCUGGCUCCACGAGCGGGCAGCCAUAACCGAUGCUGUGGGACACGUUUCGCCUGAUGGGAAGACCCUCGUCGUCUCCUCCGCCCCCAUCUGUGGUCACUUCACCUGCAUGGUGAGCAACAAGCUGGGCCACAGCUCUGCCACCUACACAGCAGAGCCGUGUGAGAGAGAGGGCAAGAGGACCACGGUGGCGGUGGUCUCUCUCAUCAUCUUGCUGGUCUGUGGAGCAGCGCUCGCUUUUCUACUGUGGAGGAGACACAGGCGAUACAGUAACAGAGGCGAGAGGCUUCAGGAGCAUUUUGAGGACAACUUGUAAUGGUGAACCAUUGAUACCAGUACCCAAGGUAUUUCGCUACACUCCCCAACUCAAAGAUGGACUCAUAAAAGGACAGUAAGUGUACAAAACGCUUUGGGAGGAGCUUCCUUCCCUGUGAGCAGCAUGACCUUUCAGUGCAUUGGAACAAUGUGGAGAGUGAACUGCUUGUUGGCCAAUUGACGAGUUCUAAAAAUGGAAAGAGCAACUUUUGCCCGGUGUGUUGCCUGUUUUUGUAGUAGCUAUCAUUUUUACACCGCCUCGCAUUGUACUGAACUACACACUACUUUUUUUUAUAUAAUGCUCUAAAAUAAUUUGUUUUAAAUGAAAAACAAUUCCGUAUUUUGUAACUUUUGUAUAUUAUAAACAUUUUGUAUAUUUAGCUGUGUAUUCUUUGUAAUAAAAAGCACAUUUUAAACUGUGUGAAGCUUUGGUUAAAUUGAUCGCUAUUGUAAAUCCACAAUUCAGUCAGGGAAUGGGAGUCAAAGUACAAGACCUCUAUACAUAGUGAAUUUCAAAAUGAUUUGUGGCCAUGAAUAAAAGUGUGCGUGUGUGAGUUCAUGUGUGUGUCCACCUCAUCAGUACACCUCUCUGGUCAAGCCGGGC